AUUUCUAGAGCACCAGUCCUGGCUGAACGGGCCAGAGGAGCUGUCUGAGGAAGGGUCAAGGGGAGGUCACGCAGGCAGGAUGUUCUGGAGAGCUUCGGCUCUGGGGAGUAAGCGCCACGCAGGGGCGGGGAUUGCUUAGUGCGAGCCAGGGUGAUCAGGCGAAGGGGCUGGAAUGGCGAGCGGGAACGCGGGCUGACGCUGGGAAGUUGCCUGCAUUUCAUUGGCGGUGAAAUAGAGGCCCUGGGGACUGGGGGAGGGCGAAGCCCCGUCCUUUGGGCCUUUGAAAGCAGACUAGACCCGCAGCGUUGUAACGGCUCUGCAGGGAGCAGGCCUGCCCUGCCUGCAGACGGACUGGGGGCGUCUGAUGCUGUGGCUCAGAUUACUGGGUCUCGCUCCUGUACAAGCGCCUGGUUGGGCCCAAGGUGCUGGCCGUCCACGUGGCAGGGCUCCAGAGGGAGCCGCGCCCCGGCAGGGUUAUUCGGGACAAGCUCCGUAUCUACGCUCACUGCACCAGCUCCCACAACCACAAUUAUGUCCGAGGAUCCAUCACCCUCUACAUCAUCAACCUGCAUCGCUCCCGGAAGAAAAUCAAGCUGGUGGGGACGCUGCGAGAUAAGAUUGUUCACCAGUACCUGCUGCAGCCGCAUGGCAAGGACGGGCUUCACGCCCGGUCCGUGCAGCUCAACGGGCAGCCGCUGGCCAUGGCGGAUGAUGGGACACUUCCUGAGCUGAAACCUCGCCCCCUUCGUGCUGGCCGCACCCUGGUCGUCCCACCACUGACCAUGAGCUUCUAUGUGGUGAAGAACGUUCACGCCCUGGCCUGCCGGUACCGAUAGCUCUGCCCGAAAGCCACUGGCCAAGACGAGACCUGCUGGGCCUGCUUUAACCCUCCCCUGUCCUCUCGCUUCCUGCACAGAACUUGCUGCCAGUCGGUGGGGCUGUGACCUGCCCGCUGCAGAAUGGGCCCCCCUCUCCUGGGGCUCUGCACCCGGUGGGAUGUGCGUCAUCACUGGCAGGUCCCGUUCCCCUUGGAGAAUAACCACUCAGAGCGGGAGUCCCGAGCGACUCCUCCAGGGUGGCCCAACGGCACGGCAAUACCUGGCCAGGCUGUCUGCUUGGCCCCAGCCCCACGAGCCAGCUUGGCCCCUGGCAUUGCUGUGCCCACGGAGAAGAAUAUGACUCCAUUGGUGAGAUGACUGGCUCCUCUUGGUGCAGUGACAGAGACCUGCGACUCAGGGGCGAUGGUGCCUGGGAGUUGUGGGCCACACGCCCUCUUCACACCGUCAGUGUUUCUUCCACAGGCCGAGUGAAAAUCCGGCUGGUGAAUUCGGCCUGUGCGCACGGACAGCCCGGCUCCACGGGAUCGGACUGCAGGGGAUAGCGCUGCACCAGGCCGGUUUCUGAUAGGGGAGCUGGCUCCUUGCUCUGGGGAAGUGCAGAGACGGGGCUCAAGGGUUGUGUUCUUAGUCUGGGACAGGGGGCACAGACACAAGCACUGCAAAGGGGACGGAGCUCACCCAGCUGGCUAGAGCCAGCCCAGCCCCUCAGAGCCUCCCCUUCCCUGUGCUAACCAGGGCAUCUCCCGGCUCUGCGCUCCCCCCGGGCGCUUUGCUCUCAGGCAGGUGCCAGGGGCUCUUGGCAGCUCCAGCCUGCCAGAACCCAGCCACCCUUCUCUCCCCACACUGCAGUGCCGCUGCCCAUGGCAGCUCCAGCCUCCCGGCCGCCCUUCUCCCCACACUGCCGGGCCACUGCCCGUAACGGGGGUGAGCCUGGGACUGGGGAAAGAAGUGGGCCAGGCUCAGUGCAGCGCGGGGCUGCGGGGCCUCCCCCCAAGGGAUUUCGUUGUUCACUAUAGUGAUGGGCCGGGCACGGACCGAUCCCCGGGGGUAGCCAUUGCCCUCCGCUGCUUCUUCCCUCGGAUCCAGAGAGUCAGGUCCUGGCAGCCGUAGAGCACCCUGGGCCCACCCCACUGAGAGACUGAGGGCCAGAGGGAUCCUGGGAUCAGCCCACCGAGCAACCCAGAGCUUUCCCAGACAGAAUGUGCGUGGGAGCAGCUCCCCCUGCUGCCGCCUGGCCGUGAGACAGGCGAGGAGGGUGAGGGAAUAGCUUCUACCAGCCCCUCCUGGGGCGCCAGCCGAGCUUUGGAGCCACGCUGCGAAAUGGGCGGCAUGAGACGCACUGGGGGGCUGCGAGGAGUCGCUUCGGCCAGGCUAAGGAAGCCCGUAGGGGCUCAGCUGAGCCCUGGGCAGGGGCGUUAGCCAGGAGUCCUGCCCCCG